CGACUUACCAAACCAUUGCAAACUCCGAAUACCGAGACGGACUGUAUGGGAGACACACGGCGGGUGCUAACGUCCGUCGUGAAAAGGGAAACAACCCAGACCCACAGCUAAGGUCCCAAAUUCACUGCUAAGUGGAAAACGAUGUGGAAAGGCAUAGACAGCCAGGAGGUUGGCUUAGAAGCAGCCACCCUUUAAAGAAAGCGUAAUAGCUCACUGGUCGAGUCGGUCUGCGCGGAAGAUUUAACGGGGCUAAGCAGUGAACCGAAGCUUGGGGUGCAUAAAACUUGUUUUAUGCGCGGUAGAGGAGCGUUCCGUAAGCCUGCGAAGGUGGAUUGAGAAGUCUGCUGGAGGUAUCGGAAGUGCGAAUGCUGACAUGAGUAACGAUAAUGCGGGUGAAAAGCCCGCACGCCGAAAGCCCAAGGUUUCCUUGCGCAACGUUAAUCGACGCAGGGUUAGUCGGUCCCUAAGGCGAGGGCGAAAGCCGUAGUCGAUGGGAAGCAGGUUAAUAUUCCUGCACCUCGCGUGAGUGCGAUGGAGGGACGGAGAAGGUUAGGUGUACCGGGCGUUGGUUGUCCCGGGGAAAGGCGGUAGGUUUGGAUCUUUGGCAAAUCCGGGAUCCUUUAAGACCGAGCACCGAGACGAGCCUUUUUGGCGAAGUCACUGAUACCACGCUUCCAGGAAAAGCUCCUAAGCUUCAGCUCACGAAGACCGUACCGUAAACCGACACAGGUGGGUAGGAUGAGAAUUCUCAGGCGCUUGAGAGAACUCGGGUGAAGGAACUAGGCAACAUGGCACCGUAACUUCGGGAGAAGGUGCACCCUUUUUGGUGGCUCGUGCGAGCUAUAGCUGAAGAGGGUCGCAGAAACCAGGCCGCUGCGACUGUUUAUCAAAAACACAGCACUCUGCAAACACGAAAGUGGACGUAUAGGGUGUGACGCCUGCCCGGUGCUGGAAGGUUAAUUGAUGGGGUCAGCCGCAAGGCGAAGCUCUUGAUCGAAGCCCCAGUAAACGGCGGCCGUAACUAUAACGGUCCUAAGGUAGCGAAAUUCCUUGUCGGGUAAGUUCCGACCUGCACGAAUGGCGUAACGACAGCGGCGCUGUCUCCACCCGAGACUCAGUGAAAUUGAAAUCGCUGUGAAGAUGCAGCGUUCCCGUGGCAAGACGGAAAGACCCCGUGAACCUUUACUAUAGCUUUACACUGAACGUUGAGUUCGUCUGUGUAGGAUAGGUGGGAGGCUAUGAAACUGUGGCGCUAGCUGCAGUGGAGCCAUCCUUGAAAUACCACCCUGUCGUGCUUGACGUUCUAACCUAGGUCCGUUAUCCGGAUCAGGGACCGUGUAUGGUGGGUAGUUUGACUGGGGCGGUCUCCUCCUAAAGAGUAACGGAGGAGCACGAAGGUACGCUCAGCGCGGUCGGACAUCGCGCACUGUGUGCAAAGGCAUAAGCGUGCUUGACUGCAAGAUCGACGGAUCAAGCAGGUACGAAAGUAGGUCUUAGUGAUCCGGUGGUUCUGUAUGGAAGGGCCAUCGCUCAACGGAUAAAAGGUACUCCGGGGAUAACAGGCUGAUACCGCCCAAGAGUUCAUAUCGACGGCGGUGUUUGGCACCUCGAUGUCGGCUCAUCACAUCCUGGGGCUGUAGUCGGUCCCAAGGGUAUGGCUGUUCGCCAUUUAAAGUGGUACGCGAGCUGGGUUCAGAACGUCGUGAGACAGUUCGGUCCCUAUCUGCCAUGGGCGUUGGAAGUUUGAGAGGGGCUGCUCCUAGUACGAGAGGACCGGAGUGGACGAACCUCUGGUGUUCCGGUUGUCACGCCAGUGGCAUUGCCGGGUAGCUAUGUUCGGAAGCGAUAACCGCUGAAAGCAUCUAAGCGGGAAGCGCGCCUCAAGAUGAGACUUCCCGGGCACAAGCCCCCUAAAGGAACCAUGUAGACUACGUGGUUGAUAGGUCAGGUGUGUAAGUACAGCAAUGUAUUGAGCUAACUGAUACUAAUGAUCCGUGCGGCUUGACC
rnacentral:rRNA from 1 species